UAAAGAUUAGUUUAUAAAAACAUUAUGCUUGUCAAGCUAAAGAUAUAUAUUUAUAUAUCUUUUU
rnacentral:tRNA from 1 species